UACGUAGGGUGCAAGCGUUAUCCGGAAUUAUUGGGCGUAAAGAGCUCGUAGGCGGUUUGUUGCGUCUGCUGUGAAAACUGGAGGCUCAACCUCCAGCCUGCAGUGGGUACGGGCAGACUAGAGUGCGGUAGGGGAGAUUGGAAUUCCUGGUGUAGCGGUGAAAUGCGCAGAUAUCAGGAGGAACACCGGUGGCGAAGGCGGGUCUCUGGGCCGUAACUGACGCUGAGGAGCGAAAGCGUGGGGAGCGAACAGG
rnacentral:rRNA from 1 species